UCAUCUGAACCAAGCCUGAUUUGACUUUAUUUCACUUUAGUUUGCGCAAACACAUGAAGUUGUAAGAGGGGCAUAACCAAGAAACAAUCCAGGCUUGAUAAAUCGCAACAAUUUAGUCUAAUCACAAUAGAAUAGUGUUUGCUGAGUCUCAAUUUAAAGGAUUCUAAUGCAACUAAACAUGUUUAAGGUGACUUCAUUCAUGCC
rnacentral:lncRNA from 1 species